rnacentral:rRNA from 1 species
UACGGGGGGGAGCAAGCGUUUGUUCGGAUUUACUGGGCGUAAAGGGCGCGUAGGCGGUCGUGACAAGUCACUUGUGAAAUCUCCGGGCUUAACUCGGAACGGUCAAGUGAUACUGUCGGACUAGAGUACAGAAGGGGCAACUGGAAUUCUCGGUGUAGCGGUGAAAUGCGUAGAUAUCAGGAGGAACACCUAUUGCGAAGGCAGCUCGCUGGGACGUAACUGACGCUGAGACGCGAAAGCGUGGGGAGCAAACAGG